rnacentral:lncRNA from 1 species
CAAAUAUCACGAACAAUCUUCUACACAUACUCAUUUACUCUUUUUUUUUUUUUUGUAGGCCGUGGAAACAGAAAUCUAGUGGAGGACUCUGAUCCCUAGGGAAUGUAGGGCCACUGGACCCAAUUGCCCUAUAAUCUUGUGUGGUAUUUCCCUGCCCCUGCUCAACUUCAUUGGAUGGCUUGGUUCUGAUGUGCAUUUCCAGGGCUAAGCUGACUGGCCAGGAAGCAGGGAGCAAAGGGGGUUGGACACAGCCAGCAAAUCACGCAGCAUUAACUGGGCUGCGAGGCCGGAUCCUGAGUGGGCAAGCAGGUGGCAGCUGAAGUAUUGUGAAUCGAGAGCCUGAAAUUCUUCAGGAUCUUCUAAGAUUAUCCAUUUGAUUGGGUCAUGGAAUUAAUGCGGGUGGAACUGGAAGUGCUGGAGAUGAGCUGCUGUGGCUGUAUGGACAAAGGCAAGAUCCUAUGGGAUGGCCAAGCAACCAGACAGAAGAACUCUUGAGACCUUGAGGAAAAGAACUGCCCGCAACUGCUCUUGACACUCUCUCCCUCUGGCCUGUUGUGUGGG